rnacentral:rRNA from 1 species
GACGAACGCUGGUGGCGUGCCUAAUACAUGCAAGUCGAACGCAUUUUCUUUCACCGUAGCUUGCUACACCGAAAGAAAAUGAGUGGCGAACGGGUGAGUAACACGUGGGUAACCUGCCCAUCAGCGGGGGAUAACACUUGGAAACAGGUGCUAAUACCGCAUAAUUCCAUUUACCGCAUGGUAGAUGGAUGAAAGGCGCUUUUGCGUCACUGAUGGAUGGACCCGCGGUGCAUUAGCUAGUUGGUGGGGUAACGGCCUACCAAGGCUGCGAUGCAUAGCCGACCUGAGAGGGUGAUCGGCCACACUGGGACUGAGACACGGCCCAGACUCCUACGGGAGGCAGCAGUAGGGAAUCUUCGGCAAUGGACGCAAGUCUGACCGAGCAACGCCGCGUGAGUGAAGAAGGUUUUCGGAUCGUAAAACUCUGUUGUUAGAGAAGAACAAGGAUGAGAGUGGAAAGUUCAUCCCUUGACGGUAUCUAACCAGAAAGCCACGGCUAACUACGUG